GUUUAUUGUGAACCUUGAUGGAUCGACGAUUUGACUUGCGAUCAUCAUACAUAUUCCAGUGGUUUUGGGUUUCAUUGGAGUCGACAAACAUCUUCAACGACGACCGACGAUUACCCAGAUCUUCCUCCUUCCACGUGUCUUCAUCAAAGGAUCUGCUCGUGACACGUGAUCUUUCCUCCAAUGCAAGACCUCUUUUUUCUUCCUGUUGUGGUUUUCUCUUGUUGGGUUUCUAGUUGGACUUUUCAUUUUAAAAAGUUUUGGAUUUUGUUUAGUUGUAAUUUGGCUUUGUUUGAAUGUUGUUGAUCUUGGCUUGUUGUUGGAUAUAAUAAAAUCAACACUCUUGUGACAAAAAAAAAGAGAGGUAGUCAUUUCAAAGAUAGUAUAACUAUAAAUAUGGUGGUAAUUUUAGUUAUGUUCAAG
rnacentral:sRNA from 1 species